AUACAUAAAUUCCAUAAAUCUGUAUCAACAGGUCCUCUGUAUAUAUGUUCAUGCUGUGAUCAAUUAUGGUAUAAGCACAGUGUUUGUCCUGCUGAGAGACUUCGAUUGUCCAAUCCAAAUUCUACUAAACAUCUACAGGGCAUUAAAAGUGUGGAUAAUAUUGAAUGGCUGUGUUUGACAUGUGACAAACAUCUUAAAAAGGAGAAAGUGCCACCAUCUGCAGUUUCAAAUGGCUUGAAGUUUCCAGAAAAACCUGACUUCUUUGAUUUGAAUGAAUUAGAAUGCAGACUUAUAGCUCCAAGAUUGGCAUUUCAAAAAAUAAUGCAAGCUCCGAGAGGACGGCAACUUAAAAUUACUGGUAAUGUUGUGAAUGUACCAGCAGACAUAUGUAAUACCGUUAACAUGCUACCCAGGUUGCCACAAGAUACUGGGACUAUUAAAGUUCAAUUAAAACGUCGACUGCAAUAUAAGAGUUCUGCCUUGUCUUUGAAUGUGAGGCCUAAUAAAGUGAUGCAAGCUGCAGCUUGGUUGGUAAAUACUAGUGAACUAUAUCGAGAACAAGGAAUAACUUUUGAUCAGCAUUGGUUAUCAUACUUUGAUGUUCCAACACCUAAUAAUAGUGUCAAUGAAAAUACUACAGUUGAUCAAACUAAUUCAGCAUCUUCAGAAGAUGAAUGGAGUGAAGAUGAAGCAGAAAUUCCUGCAGGUGUAACAGACAGUAUGCUUACACCUACUGAUUUUGUAGAUGAUACUGAAAGACAGCAUAUAUACAAUGUGGCACCUGGUGAAGGUAGUAGACCACUCAGUAUAUUUAGAGAUCAGUAUUCAGAGGAACUAGCUUAUCCAGGAAUAUUCUUAGGUCAAAAGCGGCCUGAUGAGAAGCAAAGAUUGACCCGUGUUUAUUACAGUGAAAUAUGUAAAUCAGAACUUAGACGGUCUGAUCGAAGAGCUGCAAUGUGUAUUGAGAACAUAUUUUUUAAAACUAAGAAAAUGCAGAUGAAAUUAUUGCUGGGGCAAUCGCAGCUUGCUAUUCGCAAGUGUAAAAUGGGAAACAGAACACUUACUGCUGGUGAUUUGAAAACGCCAGAAGGUUUAACAAAUCUCAUUUGCCAUGAUGAAGGAUACAAAUUUUUAACAGCUUUGAGAGGUUCCCCACCUUACUUUGAAAAAGCAAAAAAGGAUUUGUUUGCUAUGAUUCGGCAGUUAGGACCUGCAUCAUUAUUUUGUAGUUUUUCAUCUGCUGAAACAAAAUGGAAUCAUUUACUAAGAAUCCUUGGUAAGCUUGUUGAUCACAAAGACUAUAGUGAUGAACAAUUAGAUAAUUUAAAUUGGGAUGAAAAGUGUAGACUAAUUCAAAGUGACCCAGUAACUUGUGCAAGGCAUUUUGAUUACCAAUUUAAUACUUUCUUAAAAGAUUUUUUAAUGAGUGAAAUUGCCCCAUUAGGGAAACUGAAAGAUUGGUUUUACAGGGUUGAAUACCAACAGAGAGGCUCGCCUCACAUCCAUAUGCUCAUAUGGCUUGAAAAUGCACCUGUAUUUGGUGUUGAUAAAGAUGAAGAUGUAGUAAAUUUCAUUGACCAAAUAAUAACUUGUAGAAAGCCUGAUAAUGACACUGAAUUAUUUGAUCUUGUAAACAGACAAACUCAUAGACAUUCUCACACAUGCCGAAAAAACUCCAAAAAAGUUUGUAGAUUCAAUUAUCCUCAGCCACCCAUGAGAUCAACACAGAUACUUUAUCCACUUGAUGACAAUGCUUCUGAAACUGUCAUAAGAGCCAGAAAAGAGUUGUGGAAAAAUAUUAAGAAUAAACUAAAUGAUUUAAAAGACGGAGAAGACGUAACAUUUGAUCACCUUCUAAAAGAACUAGAUGUUUCAGAAUAUCAAUAUAUUCUUGCAAUUCGGUCAUCACUAAAUUGUCCAACAAUAUUUCUAAAAAGAAGUCCCAAUGAAUUAAGGAUUAAUAAUUAUAAUCCUGCUUGCCUCCAAGCAUGGAGAGCGAACAUGGACAUUCAAUUUGUGCUGGAUGUAUAUGCCUGUGCAAUGUACAUUGUUUCCUAUAUUUCGAAGGCUCAAAAAGGAAUGAGUGACUUGUUACGUAACGCAUGUGCUGAAGCUAAGGAAGGUAAUUCCACCAUCAAACAACAGGUUCGUGACAUUGGCAACAAGUUUUUAAACUCUGUUGAAAUAAGUGCACAAGAAGCAGUGUACCUCAUUCUGCAACUUCCCAUGAGAAAAUCUUCUCGAAAUGUUGUAUUCAUUAACACAUCUCCUCCAAGUGAUCGUGUUGAACUAUUGAAACCUCUCAGUGAGAUUGAGAAGAUGUCAGACGAGUCUGAAGAAAUUCACUCUGGUGGACUUCUGAAACGAUAUGUAGAACGACCAGACAGUUUAAAAAAUAUAACAUUAGCUGACUGGGCAGCUUGGUACGACUCAUCUGGGCUGAACAAGUAUAAGAAAUCUGUUAAAAAAUCAGAUAUUGACAACCUUCCUUUGGAAGAUGAAGAUGAAAAUAAUGAUGAUGACCUAGGUGUUCAAAACACUGAAAGUUGUGUUUCAUCUAAAAAGUCUAUCAAAAAAAGAUCACAAGCAAGAAUUAUCCGCAGUGUUUGGUUUAACAAAGAAUCUCAACCAGAAAAACAUUAUCGUGAGUUGAUCAUGCUUUUCACUCCAUGGCGAAAUGAACAGGUCGAUUUAAAGGGAGCUUACUCUUCCUUUGAAGAACAUUACGAAGCUCGUCGUGAUGAAAUCAGUGAACAAAUGCAAGAAUAUGCGGUUUGUAGUGAAGAUUUAAAUGAAAUUCAACAUCACUUACAAGAAUGUGAUGAUGAUGCGUAUGACACAAUAGCACCAGUUACACAAGACACUGAACGUCGGGAUGAAAACGAAGGUAAUACAGAUACACAUCCAGAUUUAAAUGAAACAUAUGAUGUCUCUGAAGACUUGGGUAUCCCAUCAAGGUUACCUAAUAAUGAACCACUCAUUUUAAAUGAAAUGGAAGAUGAUGAAUACCGACGUUUGGUCCAAAUGCUAAACAAGAAACAAAGGGAAUUUUUUUAUCAUGCUUUACAUUUAAUGAAGAUAUCUGAUAAUCCAUUUUAUGCCUUUUUAAGUGGAAGUGGAGGGGUUGGUAAAUCUCACUUGAUUAAGUCAAUUUAUCAGGCUGCUUUAAAGCACUAUAACAAACGAGCUGGCGAAGACUUUCGUCGCGUUCAAGUAUUAUUGCUUGCUCCAACAGGAAAAGCAGCUUAUCUAAUUAAAGGAAACACAAUCCAUAGUGCCUUAUCAAUUCCAGCAAGCCAAUCGCUUAAAAUUUAUAAGCCACUGGACUCUGGUAGGUUGAACACUUUACGAUGUGAGCUGGGUGCAUUAAAAUUGAUAUUACUGGAUGAAAUAUCAAUGGUUGGAAACAGCAUGUUUACAAUACAGUUAAAUAACCGUUUAAAAGAUUUAAAAGGAAGCAAAGACGACUUUGGUGGCGUUAGCAUCAUCACAAUCGGUGACUUAUUUCAACUUAAACCUGUCAUGGAUGGCUACAUUUUCACUGAUCUCCAGUCUUUAAACUAUUAUAGUGUUCUUGCUCCAAAUUUAUGGAAAAAAUAUUUUAGAAUGUUUGAACUUGAUGAGAUCAUGCGACAAAGAGAAAGUAAAAUGUUUGCUGAAAUCUUAAACAGGUUACGAGAAGGUAAACAUACAACUACUGAUCUUCAAAAGCUGAAGGAAAGAUGUGUUCAGGAAUCGAAUUGUCCUCAAGAAGCUCCACGCUUGUUUAUUCAAAAUGCUUUAGUAGACAAAUAUAAUGAACAAGUAUAUGAAUCAUUUACUCAUAAUAGAUAUACAAUUAAAGCUCAAGAUAGUGUUAUUGGAGCAGCUUCAGCUGAACUUAAGGAAAAAAUAAUGAGGCAAAUACCUUAUGUUCCGUUAAGAAAUUCUAAACAGUUAGCUCACAAGCUAAAACUUGCUGUUGGGCAACGUACAGAAGUUGCAACAAAUGUGCGAACUGAUGAUGGUCUUACAAAUGGGGCGAGUAACAUUAUAAAGUUGAUACAGCUCACUGAUGAGAAUAAACCUUCGGGUCUUAUCUGGGUCCAAUUUGAUUAUGAAGACGUUGGUAGAAAAACUCGUCACGAAAACAGAACGCUUUAUGUUAGAGGAAUUCAAAGCACAUGGACACCAAUUAAACCUGUCACAACCCAAUUUCCAGUUGGUAGAACGAAAUCUGCUCAAGUUGUUAGAAAACAGUUUCCUUUGCGACCGGCAUCAGCAAAAACUGUUCAUAGAUCACAAGGUGAUACUCAAACACAGAUUGUUGUAAACCUAAACAGCAACAGGGCUUUUCCUCACAUUCAUUAUGUUGCUUUAAGUCGAGUUACAACAAUAGAAGGAUUAUACAUCACUGACCUAUGUGAAGACAAGAUCUCUGUUGAUCAAAGAGUUGUCAAGGAAAUGAAAAUCUUAAGAACCGAACAAAGUUUGAAUCUUUGUUUCAAACCACUUUAUAUGUUGGAUCAAUCUGAUUUGAAAGUUUGUUACCUCAAUGCAAGAUCUCUGCAUAAACACAUUGAAGAUGUUCGAAAAGAUAUUAAUUACUCGUCUAUGGAUAUUGUGAUAUUUACUGAAACAAGGUUUAACUCCUCGGACACUGACGAUAUAUACAACAUUGAUGGCUACAGGUUGUUCAGAAAUGAUGUUUCCCAAGGUACGGGUCCAGGACGUCCAUACGGUGGAACUGCUGUUUAUAGCCGAGUCCCUUUAAAAGAAGGAUACCCUUAUACUCACAACGUCAAUGGAAUCGAGUUCACAAUUAUUAAAACAGAAAGUAAUCCGCAUUUGAAUAUAAUUGGAGUAUAUCGUUCACCCAAUAUUGCUAUAUCACGUCUACUGUCUUCACUACGUAGCGUACUUGAUGAAGAUUCUUCUGCACAAAACAUUAUAAUUGGAGAUUUCAAUGUCAACUGGAUGGUAGAAUCUGAUCGACAGUCACUCUACAAUUUGAUGGUUGUACAAAAUCAUUACAGGCAACUGAUAGCAGGCUUUACAACCGACAACAGAACGUUAAUUGAUCAUUUAUACACAAAUUUAAUUGAAGAGGAAAUUGAAGCUGGUAUUCUAGAAACAUACUUUAGUGAUCAUAAAGCAAUAUGGGCUUCUCUUAGGACAUAGAAAUAAUAAUUAUAUACCGUUCAAUUAGGUAUUGCAAAGAUAGCAAGCCAUUGUGCCACUGCAUGCGAAUGUUAUUAAGGCAAGCCAUUCCGCCACUGCCAAUGUUAUUAAGGCAAGCCAUUGCGCCACUCCCAGUGUUAUUAACGCAAGCCGCUGUGCCACUGUCAAUGUUAUAAAAUUAAGUCAUUGUGUGGACGAUGGCUAUACAUUUAGGUAAGUUUUCUUUUUAUCUCUUUCCCCCUCUCCCUUCCAUGUAUUUUUGUGUUUAAUUGGGUUUUUUCUUUUUUAGAUAUCUCUAUACAUUAAUCAUGGUCACUUUAAUGAUAACUUCAGUCAACAAAAGUACUCAAAAUAGAUACUUGGUAUGUUGCUACGUCUUAUUACCACAUCUAGUCAUAUCACCAACAAAGCUCCGACUGUAUGGCUUAUCCACGUUACGUUAAUUGCAUUCACUAAUACUGUUGCAUUAAUGUUUACAGAUAUACCAAAGAUGUACUAUACAAGAAUACUGACAACAUUGGUGGAUAAAUUAUAUUGAAUGAUAUCAUCUUAUGUCAAUUAAUAUGCGAAAAUGAAACAAUUCAUUUCAGCUACCAAUUGCUUCAACGAAAUCGCACGUACAAAGAAAACGUCUACAGUUGUGUUCGUUAUGUAUUCUGAAAAUUCAUUGUGGAAGACAUGAAAAUUAAGAAAGAUGCACAGUACUUCAAGAUACAACUUGGAUAUUUGUUGUAAGGCACAUUGCACCUGGCUCUGAUACCAAAACAUGUUAAUUAAAGCGAAAAGCUGCUCAACGAAGUCGCACAUACAGUACAAAGAAAAGCUAAAACUUGAUAAUUAAGAAAGAUGCACAGUACUUGAAGAAGUACUUUGUUGUAUGGUACAUUGCACCUGUUCAAAUAGUCAGAAUCGAGCCCAAAAUGGUCAGUAACAACGGGAAUUAUAAAUAACGAACAUUCAGCUAGUGAAAACUAAAAGACCAGUCACUUUUCUAUGACAAUAGAACACGUAUUAUUGCGUAUUACAGUGCAUGUUCUACCCUGUUUAAGUUUGAAGAUGUUGAUUAUGAUGCAUAUCAAGUCCAUUGCUCGUAUAACAGACUUAUAG